rnacentral:lncRNA from 1 species
AAAUGAUCAAAACACACUUAAAACUCUAAGGGAAAAUGUAAAACAAAAGAAGCUUGUUACUUCCCAGAAAAGGAAAGUAUGUAAUUGAAUUGUGAAUCGGGAAUUUAUAAUGAAGGCAAAAAUCUAUUUUAAAAUUCUCUCCCGAAAGCCUCUAUUUGGAAGUGAUCGUGCUCUCUUGAGAUGUGCAUUUCAUAUGAGGAAUCCCACUAACCAGGACUCUGUCCCCGCUUCUAGAGGAAAGUUUGAAGCUUCUAUAAGCAUAAAACCUUGAACUGAGUCACUGGGAACCUGUGAGAGGCUUCUGCAGGCACACGGCAGCCUCCACGAUGUUCUCUCCUCAUUCACGUCUGCCUGCUGCACACCCCAAUUCUCACGCACACCGCCGUUCUGGUCUCCUCCCUGCUAACAGGGAAUUCCCUGGUAAAAAGCAGAAGGAGAGUGCAUGAGAUUAUAUAAAGACUCAGAGAAGAGAUACAGCUCCUCCCGCACCAGAGAAAUGCAGCUCCGUGAGCCCCGAUGGAGCCAGCAUGCUGCUGGGUGCUGAGGAGCAGGCAGAGGCACCCAGGAUGGCGGUCCCCAAGGAGAACGGAGGCACAGAACAACGCAUGAGGGGCCACAUGACUUAGGGCCGGGAUCGGUCACUCAGCCAGCAAAAACACUGGAAGAAAACAAAACAACUUCAGACUCUAUGCUGCAUUUCCGUAAUAUAUCUGCCCAAAGACUGGACAACAAAGGUAAAGGAGGCUGAUGAGGAAACGAAAGGAUCCGUGGUUCUUGGCUCGCUGGGUGGCUCAUCAACAAAGCCCCAGCAUCACUCCUGCAGAUGCCCUAGCCUGGCCUGGGCUGGGAUGGGCAAAAUUCACCAUGGGACUCUUGUUCAAGAGAGGGAGAUCAAAGCCAGAAACACUUACCCAGAAUGGCCAUGCAGACUAAAAUUCCAAUUCUAAAAAUACUUUUAAAAUGUAACGUACAACAAAGGAAAGCUGGAAAAAUAUUUAAAAAAGGAUGAAAGGGCAAGAAAAAUUCAACCCACGACCUCAAGGCGAUUAUAAUCUGUGUUCUGCUGCUUCCCAGAGCCGCUUCAGUCUUCAGCUCAGAGUCUACCAGACACUAAAAUGCAACUGAACACUCAGUUCAUACUUGUUCUUCUAAUUAGCUGCCUCUUCCAUUUGAUUAAUAUUGCCUCCUAAUUUAAUUGUAAAUUGUAUUUCUGGUUUAUAUUUCGCUUCUCCCUCCUGUUGUACCUGGUGACCAUCUUCAUUAAUCAUAUUGUAGCUUUUUAAUGAAUCUCAUAUGCCAAUUUAUGGUGAACAAGACUUGAUAUGAAGGCAUCUUCAUCAAAUCAUUCAUAAUCUUGUAACUAUUGGUUUAUUUUCUGUAACGACCUAUAAAUGUACACCAAAAAAAUGAAAGAUUCCCCCUAAAAUGUAAUGGGACAGAACUUUGUUUACGUAGAUUUCUGAGGAUGGGUUGAGACGCCAAAUUCCGCUUGUGUUUGGAAUUUCUAUUUCACUGGGCUUAGUGAGGGUGCCCAUGUUUUGCAAUCCUGUGCUCUAGAAUCUAUCAUAAACAGAUUCUUCUAAUUGUUUGACAUUAAA